rnacentral:rRNA from 1 species
AUUAAGGUCCUCUGGAUUGUAAACUUCUUUUAUAUGGGACGAAAAAAGGUCUUUCUAGACCCCUUGACGGUACCAUAUGAAUAAGCACCGGCUAACUCCGUGCCAGCAGCCGCGGUAAUACGGAGGGUGCAAGCGUUAUCCGGAUUCACUGGGUUUAAAGGGUGCGUAGGCGGGCAGGUAAGUCAGUGGUGAAAUCCUGGAGCUCAACUCCAGAACUGCCAUUGAUACUAUCUAUCUUGAAUAUUGUGGAGGUAAGCGGAAUAUGUCAUGUAGCGGUGAAAUGCUUAGAUAUGACAUAGAACACCCAUUGCGAAGGCAGCUUACUACGCAUAUAUUGACGC